CCUACGGGUGGCAGCAGUGAGGAAUAUUGGUCAAUGGGCGCGAGCCUGAACCAGCCAAGUAGCGUGAAUGAUGACUGCCCUACGGUUUGUAAACUUCUUUUAUCAAGGAGUAAGCUGAGGCGCGUGUGCCCUUUUGUAUGUACUUUAUGCAUAAGGGUAGGCUCACUCCGUUCCAUCCGCCGCGGUAAUACGGAGCGUCCGAGCGUUAUCCGGAUUUAUUGGGUGUAAAGGGAGAGUAGCGGGGUGGUUAAGUCAGUUGUGAAAGCUCGGGGCUCAACCGUAAAAUUGCAAUUGAUACUGGCAGGCUGGAGUACAGUAGAGGGAGGCAGAAUUCGUGGUGUAGCGGUGAAAUGCGUAGAUAUCACGAAGAAUACCGAUUGCGAAGGCAGCCUACUAAAC
rnacentral:rRNA from 1 species